rnacentral:rRNA from 1 species
GAUGAACGCUGGCGGCGUGCCUAAUACAUGCAAGUCGAACGCACAGCGAAAGGUGCUUGCACCUUUCAAGUGAGUGGCGAACGGGUGAGUAGCACGUGGACAACCUGCCUCAAGGCUGGGGAUAACAUUUGGAAACAGAUGCUAAUACCGAAUAAAACUCAGUGUCGCAUGACACAAAGUUAAAAGGCGCUUUGGCGUCACCUAGAGAUGGAUCCGCGGUGCAUUAGUUAGUUGGUGGGGUAAAGGCCUACCAAGACAAUGAUGCAUAGCCGAGUUGAGAGACUGAUCGGCCACAUUGGGACUGAGACACGGCCCAAACGCCUACGGGAGGCUGCAGUAGGGAAUCUUCCACAAUGGGCGAAAGCCUGAUGGAGCAACGCCGCGUGUGUGAUGAAGGCUUUCGGGUCGUAAAGCACUGUUGUAUGGGAAGAACAGCUAGAAUAGGGAAUGAUUUUAGUUUGACGGUACCAUACCAGAAAGGGACGGCUAAAUACGUGCCAGCAGCCGCAGUAA